AUGUGACGUCACGGUUUCACGAUCGCAGAUGAACAAAAGAUGGCGAGUGGGGAAGAUUUGGUGGAUUGAAUGGCCAAACCGCCUCCAAACCACCAAACUGGCCUUUUAUUACAUCCACCGGAUGUGUCCUUGUGCGUAGGGAAUGGAAAAACACAGCUGUAGCAAUUGCCAGUGUGAUAUUUCUGGCUUCAGAAUUCGAUGUGCUGAAUGCCCAGACUUUGACCUUUGUUUACAGUGUUUUUCUUACGGAGCAGAAGUAGGAUCUCACCGAAAGGACCACCGUUAUCGAGUGGGGAGUGACAGCCCUCCCUCUGUGUUUGACAAUCCAGACCCCUGGUCUCUGGCAGAAGAAAAUAUGUUACUGGAUGCUGUAGAACAAUAUGGAUUUGGCAACUGGGAAGAUAUUGCUAACCAUGUCGAAAGCCAGAAAGCACCAGAAUGCCAGGACCAUUAUAUCAACUUCUUUGUUCAGGGAAACAUAGGAAAAGCCACAUUCCCGACAGAAUAUGGGUUUCGAGUGUCGGACCACACCUGUCCUGAUGGUGGUCCACUGUCCCCCAGUAUCACGGUGCCAGUGCCGCCUCUUGACUUGUCCAUCCAGGAACAGCAGGAGUUGGGCUACAUGCCUUUCAGAGACGACUUCGAGAGGGAGUUUGAUAACGAUGCUGAAACUCUAGUCAGCGGUCUAAGCAUCAAUCAUGAUGAUGAUGACCUAGAUAUAGAAAUUAAGUUAUGCCAAGUUGACAAGUAUAGGUUAAGAAUACGUGAAAGGGAGCGAAGAAAAAAAUUGGCAAGAGAUUAUGGUUUAAUAACAUCAGCAGCAUCCACCGGUUCCAAACAGUCCAAAUCACAGCAACAGAAGAAAAAGAUGUCAAAAGAUGUCAGGGAAUUCCAGGAAAAAAUGAAAUCAUUUUCCCAGUUUCACGCGGCAGCAGAACAUGAGCAUUUCUUUGACGAUUUACAAAAAGAAAAAGAAUUGAAAUCUCGAAUAAAAGAACUGUCAAGGUACAGGCGGCAUGGUUUAAGUGUUAUCAGUGAAAUAGAAGAUUUUGAAGAUGAGAAGUACAGAAGGGAAAAGAAAAAAGAAAAUCGUAAAAAGAUGGUGAGUUUCCUGUUGAGUGCCCGCUUGCUAAGACCAAAGAAGAGGCAGCUCAACUCCGACAAAACGAAACUCAACGGUCUCAAAAAAAGCAGAAGGAAAGGUAGAAAAAUUAGAUAUACUCAUCGACGACGACGAAGUAAAAGAUGAAGAUACAGAGGAGGAGUGUAAGGAGAUGGCCUCACAGCCGGGCUACGAGAUGCUGUCCGAGAGAGAGAGAAAACUAUGCAACUCCAUUGGGAUGACACCUGCCAACUAUUCAACUAUAAAAACCUGCAUCAUCAAAG
rnacentral:misc_RNA from 1 species